UGUGGCCGUUGGCCGUUGCUCAUCUAGAGAAGAGGUUGGCCUCACCUGCCAGGGUCCCCUCAGAUGUUAGUCUACAUCAUCCGGCUCCUCGUAACCGGAAGCAAACUCAUGCUGCUCUGUAGGGUUCUUUUCAUGCUUGGUGUGGCCUUCUCCGUGUCGCCUAGUGCAGCGGGCGCCCGUGCCCGGCGAGAGGACAGAGCGUGGCUGCGAUGCGGACCAGCCACACCAAGUGGGGCACCCGAGGCGGAGAGCCGACCGACGGGGUUCGGUCCCCCUGCUGGGGCUCCUGGGGGGGUGGUGGCGGGGACUACAGACGUAAGCGCCCUGCAGACGGGGCCCGAGAGGGGCCCCCGGAGAGCCGCCGGGGCCCUGAGCCAGCUGCAGGUCUGGAGAGAUCCGGCGCCCACGCAAAGACAGACGAACAGCGGAAAAACGAAAGCGGAAACAUGUGGCCCAGCGUGAACGAAUACCGUGCCUCUGGAGCAGGAGAACCACUCUUAUCCGGGCUGAUUUUCCCUCUGCUGGAGCCCAUCUCGUGAAGAAGCCACGGCCCUGAACCCCUUCCGAAUCAGCCUCAAGAAUGAAACUGCACACCCUCCUGCCGGGGAGGCUCCCUCCACGCGGUCGGGGAACUUGCCCGAUUCCUUUGCUGGUGUUUGAGGGACGGACCCUCCGCAGAACUCAGACUCCGCUUGCAACCCGAGCCCAGGAAGGCCGCCGUGAUCUCGCACAGAAGCCAGCACCCCCUCAACAUGCGGCACCCGCCCCCCAACUCCACUUUCCUCUGGCAUCGGAUCCUGUCUACACCCAACUGAACUCCCUCUGACCCACGAGAAUGCUUCUGUCUCCCCCUUCCAGGGGGAGCGCCAGGUGAGCAGGGCCUGCCCGUCCUGUCCCGAUGUGUCCCCCUCCCACGGGAGGCCCCGGGGCAUCGCGGCUGGACCGGCACUGACCUGAAAAGGGCCAUGCACUUGACCCCCCAGGGAACGGAAGGGGAGGCGGUUUGGAUCAAAUGGGGCAAGCGUUACCACGGUCAGAUGAUCAUCUGAGAGGGAUUUGUGGUUAAGACACGGGGAAAAUGCCAGUUCACAGAUAUAUCAGUCCAGGUUUAGUAAGAGCAGAAGGGGAAAGAUGCCGAGAACGGAGAAUGUUCCGCAGGACGCAGAGCAAACACAGAGGAAGAGCUUAGAUCCACGUGGACACCACGGAGCCAACUGCGUCGUCCUCACCCGCCCUGGGGCCUCCUUGCCCUCCCUGCCCUCCCUGUCCUCCCCUCACCCUUCCUGCCUUCCCUGUCCUCCCCUCGCCCUCCCCUCGCCCUCCUUGACCUCCCUUCACCCUCCC